GGGGUGACUGGAGUGGCUUGUCAAUUUGGAUGAAACUCACACCCCGCCGACACAGGAUGCAAGAGUGGCUCGCCAAGUCGGCUAGGGAACUGGAGGUGGCAAGAGUGGCUCGCCACCCCAACUGGGAACUAGAGGGGGCGAGAGUGGCUUGCCACCCCAGUUACAAACAUGGGAACUGAAGGUGUGUGGAAGUGUGUGAAUGAAAAGGCCUCAUUAGGCGCAUCAGCUGCGAAGUGAAGAGUCACAGAUCCCUUAGUGUAGACUGUGUGCUCCGAGAAAGGGUGGGGCCGACUAAGACUAGUGGUGAUCUGCAUAUGGCUAAUAGGAGCUGCCCUACAGCUCAGAGUUGCAGCAGGAAUAAGGACCUCUCCAAAGCCAAGCAGCAUCUGAAAACCCCCAUAAUAGGAGACAGUGUGGUUGGUCGAAACGAGAGGAAGAGUGAGUAGGCAAGAGUGAAUGUGCUGCGUUGUAAAGGGAGGAAUGGGAGGAAAGUCAUCAAAACAUCAAAACUUACUCUGUGGGAGUGCAUGUUACGGAACCUUAAGAAAGGUUUUGCAGGGGAUUAUAGAGUUAACCCCCUCAGAGGUUGAGAACUCUGGGUGAAUUAGAAUUGCCCUCUUCUGGUGUUGGAUGGCUGACCGAAGGAACUACAGACAGGGAACAAUUGGCCAUGUAUUUAAGGUGGUGACAAGGGUUGGAGAACAGCCAGUGUACCUGGAUCAAUUUCUUUAUAUUGACUCAUAGUUAAAUAUAAUAUAGCCAAACCCAGCAUUGAUCCAGGCCUGUUUAACAGCUUAUUGCAAAAAAAACCAAAAGUGAAAAUAAGAGCAGCUUUGCCGGCAGACACAGAGUUAAAAGGGAAUCCCAGAGACAGCAAGAGAAGCCAGUUUUACAGGAGCCACCAAAGGUAACAGAAAUUCUUCCUCCAUAUAUCCCAGCCUACCCCCGCUUUACCGAGGCCGACAGCCCCCCCAGGAACCAGAUUCAGGAGCUAACAUGCCCCAGGUCUCACCUCGAAGGGGAGGAUCAGAGCCUUGAGAGGCCAGGAAGGAGGUCAAGAUAGUCAAGUGGGCCAUCUCAGAUCUGGCCGUGCUGGAGCUAUGCAAAUGCCUCUCAGGGGGACACGAGGACCUAUCUAUUAUGAUGACCAGGAUCCCAACUAGGACCCAGAGGAUGAAACUCAGCUUCAGCGUUUGCAGAGGUACCAAGAGGCACUUCUGCAGGGGCUACGAGUUGGUAGAAGGAAAGCAAUGAAUAUAAAGAAGAUUUCAGAAGUGCUUCAAGGAGCUGAUGAGAGCCUAAGUCAGUUUUAUAAGAGACUCUGUGAAGCAUUCCGGCUUUGUACCCCAUUUAACUGUGAGGCUGCUGAACAUCAGCCUAUGGGGAAUACUUCAUUCGUAGGGCAAGCCCAGGGUGACAUCAAGUGGAAGCUGCAGGCAUGAAUACCACCCAGUCCAUAAAAGUGGCCACCACGGUGUAUGUUAACUGUGACCAAGGAACAAAACGGGAAAGAGCAAAAGCCACAAGCGCGGCAGCUAAGCACGCCCACCAUUAAGUUCCUCUCCCCAGCCCGGCUCUAUCUGGAAAAAGAAGGGGCCAGGGACUUGGCGCCAGGAGAAGAGCAAAGGAAAAGGAAAGGAGAAAGUAACAGUAAGUGUGAGAAGGGAAAGAAGAAAGUAAAAAGGAAAUCAGAAAAAAACAGGAGAGACAGGCGGCAGUGCACGGGGGCGGGGCCCGUGCCGUUGUCCGGCCCCACCGGCUGGCCGCAAGAGCAGAACUCAGGAAAGAAAAAGGAAAGUAAAUUGAAGGCUUAAGAAAAAGGCCAAUCUGUUGUCAACAGCUCUUAUGGAAAGGGAGAUUAGCAAUGUGAGAGGACGUGGAUGCGGACGUAGACGUGGAAAAAAGUCAAGUUAGGAAUGGAUUCAAGAGCCAGACAAGGUGGGCGCCUGUGAUCCCAGCUACUCGGGAGGCUGAGGCAGGGGAAUGGCGUGAACCCGGGAGGCGGAGUUUGCAGUGAGCCGAGAUCGCGCCACUGCACUCCAGCCUGGGAGACACAGCGAGACUCCGUCUCAAAAAAAAAAAAAAGAAAAGAAAAAGAAAAAGAAAGAGAUUAAUGUGCGCGAUGCAAAAAGAAAGGACACUGGAAGGAUGAGUGUUCAGAAGGCAAUGAGGGAAAUAGCCAAGACCACGAGACAAAGAGGCCAUCGGCCAAGGGCUGCCGCACCUUGGGGAACCAAAUACUGAUCUGAUCAGGCUGGCAGGAGCCGAAGGACGUAAGGAACAGGACAGACCGGGAACCUUCUCAUUAGGCACCCAGGGGCCCAUGGUCACAUUAGAAGUUAAAGGCAGCAGGAUUCUGCUGUAUCUGGAUUCCAAUUUCUCACUGAUGGCUAAGCCACUAGAUGGAGUUACAAAAGGGGAAGAAAAAGAACCCCUCCUCUGGGAAACAGCAGGAGAAGGAGCCCUGCCUGGUGAAAACUUGCUUAUAGACUUCACAGAACCUCCCCGUGCCGGAGGUUAUUGGUUCAUGCUAGUGCUUGUUUGCACCUUUUCAGGGUGUUAUGUCUUGGAUCCACCACAGUCGGCUAACACUGGCAGCUCAGGACAAGUGAACCAGCCAGCAGGACCCAGAUCAUCCAACCUGGCUGAUCCUUAGAUGAGACCGAGUUGCUGCUGAGGACAACAGCCCUGCUCUAGUCACUCUGGAGGCUGACUAGUCUACGCACGGCUGAAACUUGAGGACUUGUCAAGCAAGUAAUGUAGCUAAAAUCUUAAGACUAGUGGUUUUCGUGUACACUAACUGUUUUACUAUUGUUCUGUCGCUGUGCUCAACCUUUUUCCCAGGUAAGGACCUUUUUUGUCCUUGCUGGAUAUGAAUAUGCUGUACAUUGUUUUGUUGUUACCCCCCUUAACCAUGUAGAAGAAACACCUACAGAAGGUGUCCCCACUGUACACAUACUACUUGGUCAGGGAACAGUAUAACUAGAACCCUAUUGCACUAUACUUAUUAUGAGUGUACAGGGACUCGCUUAGGAACUUGUACUUAUAAUCAAACCACCUAUUCAACCUGUGACCCAGGAAAUGGCCAGCCUUAUAUAUGCUAUGACCCUAAGUGUUUACCUGGGACUUGGUUUGAGAUUCAUACCGAGUCAAAGGGAGGAAGUUUUGUAAGUUGAACCCAAGCCUCUCUUCCCGGGGGCGGGGGGUGGGGUGGCUAUAUCCAUAUACUUUGAUAUUUGUCAGUUAACAUCCAUGAACCAGAGAUUGUGAACUAUCUCACAAUCUCUGGUCCUACAGGGUACUAUACAAACUGCCAGUACAAAAUUGCAUGUGCACCCCGUUUGCCCCUCCGAGGCCCUAGCGAUAGCUUGCUGGAACCGCACAACGCAGUUCACUGACCGAUCAUCACCGAGGCUAAAGCCAAUCUUGCUCAUCAAAGUGCCAGCAAAACCGGAUUGUAAGACAAGCACUUGCAAUCCUGUAAAUCUUACUAUCUUAAAGCCAGAUCUACCUAUAUAGACUGCAGGUUACUCCAUGGCAUUACAAAGCUACAGUCAAAAAACUAAAAUAACUUUGUAUAUUCUAAAGAGGACUCAAACCAAGCGGUCAGCUCAGCAGCAAUUCCGAGUCUUUAAGUCAUUCUUUGAGCAUAUAAACCAAAAGUUACCAGAGCCUCCUCCUUUAGCCAAAAACCUAUUUGCUCAGCUGGCUAAAAACAUUGCAUGCAGCCUAGGCAUUUCCUCAUGUUAUGUUUGUAGAAGGACUAACAUGGGAGACUAAUAGCCUCAGGAAGCAAAAGAGUUAAUGCCUCAAGAUAACUUUACUCUGACUCUCUCUUUCCCCAAACAGACACGCACAAGUUCAAGCGUCUAGCUCUUAAAAACUUCUAUUAUUAGCAGAUACUGUGUUGCUCCCUAGGGAAAAGUUUUUACAGACCCAGUAGGAGAACUAACCUGCUUAAGACAGCAAUAUUAUAAUGAAACAUUAAGGAAAACUUUGUGGCAGGGCAGAGAUGACUACAAAGCACCUCAUCCAAAUCUGUUCUCCUGUUUCUCUUCUCUAAACCACACUUGGUAUCAACUUGAAGCUCCAAAUACUUGGCAAGCACCCCCCGUCUUUAUUGGAUCUGUAGGCUACAGGCAUAUUGACAGUUGCCAGUUAAAUGGACAGAGGUGUGCUUAGAACGAUUAGACCAUCUUUCUUCCUACUCCCACUGCAACAGGGAAAAACUUCAAGGUACCCUGUCUAUGAUGAAGUUAGAAGAAGAAACAAAAGAGAUGCAGACACAAAGAGGUAUAAAAAUAAGAGAUUGAAAAGGCACAAAUUAGCCCCCUGAAAAAAUAAUUCCAUACUAUAGGCCAGCUACCUGGGCACAAGAUAGGUCAUAGGGAGACCGCACUCCUAUCUACAUGCUUAACCGUAUCAUAAGAUUGCAGGCAGAACUUGAAAUCAUCACCAAUGAAACAACAAAUGCAUUAGAUGUACUGGCCCAGCAAACCACAACAUUGAGAAACGCUACCUAUCAGAACAGAUUAGCUUUAGACUACCUCCUAGCCCAGGAAGGAGGAGUAUGUGGAAAGUUCAGUCUAACUAAUUGUUGCCUGGACAUCGAUGACAGCGGAAAAGCAAUUAUAGAAAUAACUGCAAGAAUGAGAAAAUUAGCCAGUGUUCCAGUUCAAACUUAGAAAAGGUGAUCCCCAGAUUCUCUCUUUGGAGACUGGUUUUCAUUUUUUGGAGAGUUCAAGACUUUAAUAGGAGUAGUGCUGGCCACACUGGGAAGCUGCAUAAUACUCCAUUGUCUCUUACCUUUCCUUGUUAGAAGUAUUCAAUCAACUAUAGAGGCAAUAGUAGCCAGGCAAACUACAACUCAGCUAAUAGCUCUGUGUAAAUAUCAACCUUUGUCUAAAGAAGAAAACUUGUCUCUUCAGGCAGAACUAAGUAAUAGUGAUGCCUUUUAUUAAACUUAUUUCAUAAAAGGCAUCAAAGGGGAGAAACUGAGGCAGAAAUUUAAAUAAUAAUAAUAAUAAAUACUGCAUUUCUUCACUCCAAGAAAAGUAAAAGCUAAGGCCCAGAAUAUGGCAAGGCAAAGGCUAAAAAGAAAAGAACAAGUUUUCCUCUUGCCUAGCAGCUCACUUUAAGGAAAGUUAGAAGAUAACGCUGUCCAAAUAGCCAAGGCCAAAGGAAUGGGCUCCAGACACCCCCCUCCCUUCCAGAGCAAGCUUGAAAGAAAAAAAAGAAAGACAGGUUCUUUUACUGUUACUCUUUUCCCAGGCUUCUUAAGCAUGAUUAGCAUGAUUAUGUUUUACAAAUGUCUGUAUUUAGCCAGUUCUUAUUUUUCUUUUAAUGCAGCUACAAGGCCACUGGCUAGGUCACAAAUUAUGUUAUGCUAUAGAUUACGUGACCUGUUACUGUAUGAUUAACUGCUUUUAUUUUGCUACUGUUUUUAUUUUGCUUCUGUAAGACCGCUUAUAAAAACCCUGCUCUUUGUUCAGGGCUCAGCUUUCGGAUGUGAAUCCUCUGAGCCGGUGCGUACCUAAAAUAAACAAAUCCUCCUGUACUCUG